rnacentral:other from 1 species
GAUACCCUACGAUGUUAGUGACUCCAUUUGUGUCUAAAACCGAUGCUAAAUAUAAGGGAGUCCUAUAUCUUAACCCGGACGUCAAGCCUCAUUGGAAUGAUUAGGAGGAAGAUGAAAAGGUUAAUGCGGACACCCACCUGCGAGAGCGGGUUUUUUUGACAUAAAAGAGCACGGCAUUUGUGGGACUUGA